rnacentral:rRNA from 1 species
AGGGCACCACCAGGAGUGGAGCCUGCGGCUUAAUUUGACUCAACACGGUGAAACUCACCCGGCCCGGACACCGGAAGGAUUGACAGAUUGAUAGCUCUUUCUUGAUUCGGUGGAUGGUGGUGCAUGGCCGUUCUUAGUUGGUGGAGCGAUCUGUCUGGUUAAUUCCGAUAACGAACGAGACUCUAGCCUAUUAAAUAGACGUCGGGUUCUCCGCACUCGACGGUCUUCUUAGAGGGACAAGGUGCUUUUAGCACCGCGAAACAGAGCAAUAACAGGUCUGUGAUGCCCUUAGAUGUCCGGGGCCGCACGCGCGCUACACUGAAGGAAGCAGCGUGUAACAACCUUGUUCUAACGAACUGGGUAACCCGUGGAACUUCCUUCAUGAUUGGGAUAGGGGUUUGCAAUUGUGCCCCUUGAACGAGGAAUUCCCAGUAAACACUAGUCAUCAGCUAGUGCUGAUUACGUCCCCGCCCUUUGUACACACCGCCCGUCGCUACUACCGAUUGAAUGGUUUAGUGA